UUUUUAAGUUUACAAUGUUAUGUCCAAAUCUAUUAACCAUUCAAUCUAUUAAAAAUAAAAAGUUAGUUAACUAAAAAUUAUAUUAUAAAAUACAAGAAACUUGAGAAAUGAAAAUUUUAAUUUUUUUCCAAAAUCUAAAUAUCCGAACCCGAUCCGAAAUAACCGAAUCCGAACUAAAAAUACAUGAAUCCGGCCCGAAGUACAGAAAUACCUGAACGGGUUCUAUACCUCCAUACCGAAAUAUUCGAAAAUCUAAAGUACCCGAUCUGAAUACGAACGGGUACCCGUACGUCCACCGCACUAAUACUUUCAAAACACAAGUCCAAACAUCUCUUGGGUCGCUAUUGAAGCCCAACUCAAAGGCCCAACAUCUAAACAAAACAUUCACACUCUUUCUUUCUUUUAACAUUUUGAUUUUUGAGGAAGAAGCCAAGGAUUCGCCAUGGAAGGAGAAGAACACACUGUUUGUGGAUCGAUCACACUCGAAGAAUGGAACGGUUCCUCUUCUACUAAGCUAUUCAGAACAGCAACCAUCACUGCCUCCUCUUCUCUCUCCAUCCAAAGGUCUGCUAAUCGAAUCAACCAUGUAUGGAGACGAGUUCUCCAAGCUUUUGUACCUGAGGGCUUUCCUGAUAGUGUAACUCCGGAUUAUGUAGGGUUUCAACUAUGGGAUACGUUACAGGGGCUCUCAACGUAUAUAAAGAUGAUGCUUUCAACUCAGGCUCUUUUAAGUGCAAUUGGGGUUGGUGAGAAAUCCGCAACGGUUAUAGGUGCUACCUUUCAGUGGUUUCUGAGGGAUUUCACUGGGAUGCUUGGAGGCAUUUUGUUCACUUUUUAUCAGGGUUCCAACCUGGAUAGUAACGCAAAAAUGUGGCGUUUAGUUGCGGACCUUAUGAACGAUAUAGGAAUGCUAAUGGACCUUCUUUCUCCUCUAUUUCCAUCUGCCUUUAUCAUUGUGGUUUGCUUAGGAAGCCUAUCAAGAUCAUUUACUGGUGUUGCAAGUGGAGCAACCAGAGCAGCUCUAACUCAGCACUUUGCUCUCCAAGAAAAUGCGGCGGAUAUAUCUGCUAAGGAAGGAAGCCAAGAGACUAUGGCAACGAUGAUGGGAAUGUCAUUGGGAAUGUUGCUUGCUCGGUUUACCUCUGGCAACCCUUUAGCCAUUUGGUUCUCGUUUCUCUCCCUCACUGUGUUUCACAUGUAUGCAAACUAUAGAGCUGUCCGGUGCCUUGUAUUGAAUUCGUUGAACUUCGAGAGGAAUUCGAUUCUUCUAGCACAUUUCAUGCAAACUGGCCAAGGUUUCUUCAAUGGAGGGUGUAUUGCCCAUGUGGGCUACUUCAACUAAUUCAAACGCAUUGCACAAGAGAGUGCACUUAGGUGUGAAAGUUUCUUCUCUCCCUCGUCCAGAUAUAAUGCAACUCCUAAAUGGUGUUGGAGCUUCUUCUCACAAGAAUGCUAAGUACUUACUGGCACAUAGAAAGGGAAAUGUAAGUGUGAUCCUGCACAAAGACUCAACAGCUGGAGAUGUGUUGAAGUCAUACAUUCACGCCAUUGUUAUGGCAAAUCUUAUGGAAAAGAGCACAUCUUUUUAUUCAGAAGGAGAAGCUUGGAUGGAUAAACACUAUGAUGAAUUCCUCAACAAG